rnacentral:rRNA from 1 species
UACGUAGGGGGCUAGCGUUGUCCGGAAUCAUUGGGCGUAAAGAGCGUGUAGGCGGCUUGGUAAGUCCGCUGUGAAAGUCCAGGGCUUAACCCUGGAAAGCCAGUGGAAACUGUCAAGCUAGAGUCCGGAAGAGGUGAGUGGAACUCCUGGUGUAGCGGUGAAAUGCGCAGAUAUCAGGAAGAACACCAAUGGCGAAGGCAGCUCACUGGGACGGUACUGACGCUGAGACGCGAAAGCGUGGGGAGCAAAAGGG